rnacentral:rRNA from 1 species
CCUACGGGGGGCUGCAGUGGGGAAUAUUGCACAAUGGGCGCAAGCCUGAUGCAGCCAUGCCGCGUGUGUGAAGAAGGCCUUCGGGUUGUAAAGCACUUUCAGCGGGGAGGAAGGCGUUAAGGUUAAUAACCUUGGCGAUUGACGUUACCCGCAGAAGAAGCACCGGCUAACUCCGUGCCAGCAGCCGCGGUAAUACGGAGGGUGCAAGCGUUAAUCGGAAUUACUGGGCGUAAAGCGCACGCAGGCGGUCUGUCAAGUCGGAUGUGAAAUCCCCGGGCUCAACCUGGGAACUGCAUUCGAAACUGGCAGGCUAGAGUCUUGUAGAGGGGGGUAGAAUUCCAGGUGUAGCGGUGAAAUGCGUAGAGAUUUGGAGGAAUACCGGUGGCGAAGGCGGCCCCCUGGACAAAGACUGACGCUCAGGUGCGAAAGCGUGGGGAGCAAACAGGAUUAGAUACCCUUGUAGUC